GUGGGUAGAGCAGUGCACAGUGGGGAUAAUAUGGGAGUAGGUGUAUUAAACCUGGAAGUGUAAGCAACUCCUUGUAGACCCACCCUACUGUGUAUAAAAGGCUGGAGAAAUUCUUCAUAUGAUCUACUCUAGGUUAUGUACUGAGGACCACCUUAUCUGGGUCAGGUACACUACACAGAGUGCUACAAUAUAAUUGUAAACAUAAUUUAUCCUCACUGUGAUGGCUAGCCACCUGACCCAAAUCAUUAUUAGACUCAAUACUUUGGAACUGGAACAAAAAUCAGUUGACCUGAUGUCUGAAAGACAUGCCCACCUGCUAUUUGACAAGCUAUAGACAUAUCCUACCAAUUGAUGGGUAGUAGCACUGAAACUAUGAAAGUGGAUGAACUCAUCCAGAGGAGUUGAUGAGUGAGAAAAGAAGACUGGAAAAGGAACACAAGGAAAUCAAGAAGCAGCAGCUGAGACUGAAGGAAAAUAACGUGGUAUUACAGAGGCCAAAAAAUAGAGUAUUUCAAGAAGCAAGUGGUUAGUGGAGUUAAAAGCUGCUGAUACAACCUAAAAAAGUAAGUAUCCAUUUUUUAAAAAACUUUCAUUUAAAAUACCACCAUAUUUUAUUGAAUCUAAGUACCUGAUUGUAAGACAUUAAAGAAAAAUUAAACCUGCUAAUUAAA
rnacentral:lncRNA from 10 species